CUCACCCUUCCUCACCCUUCUGAUGGGUUUUUUGUCUUAGAAUGAGCAGGCUCCAUAGGGUUACAAUUCCGGUCUGCAGGUGGGUUCCCCGCCCCCCCCCCAUUGUUAGCUGGCAUUCUGCUCCUCCCACAAACCGUGCAUUAAAGACCCCGCCCUGGCAAAUGUCUCCUGCAUUCCUGUCCUGGAGACCUGGUGCUGGCUGCAAUCGCUGGAGGCUUCUCACUUAAGUAAAUCCUGCUUUGCUUACAGUCCCUGUCCACAGGGAAAUUCCCUCACCUGAGACCGUUAAGGGAAGACGACGGCUGAAAAAUUAUUGUUACCUCGGUUCUUUGUCUAACAUGGAAGAAGAAUUUCCAAGGAGACGGCAAAGAGAUUUAAAAGUAUUUAUUAGAAUCAAAGACCUCCAGCCAGAGCGGCAUGGAGGGGGGCUUCCAAGAGGUGAAAACCACAGGGCCCGUGGUAAUAACGUUUUUAAGUACAAUCUUGGGGACCAAACUGUCAGCCUACAAGGAGGUGGCAACAAAAGACCUGUCUGGCUUGUCCUUGCUAUUUUCAUGAAAUUCCCGUUUGCUUCACCCUCUCAAACACACGGGCUAAUGUCUACGUAGCUACCUCAACAGUUCUGCAACAGUCUUAACAUAUACGUUCUUCACGCUUUAACAAAUGUGCUCUUUACUCCAUUACACUUGAGGCUGGUGGCAGCUACCGGCUCCCUGGUCACACUUGAAAGCUCCCUCCAACCCUCAGAAGCCUGAAGAAGAGGUCAGCCUUGGACGCUUCCCACGAAGUUGACUUCUGUUCACACCAAAAUGUGUAUUUGAUGAUUAUGAUGACUCAUAGAUAUCCAGCACUACUUAUGAGUAUACAAAUAUAAUUAUGGAAACUUUUUGCUAUGCUGAUGCAUAGCAAAUAAAUUAGAC